GUCCCAUUUCUCAGUUGUGUCCCGGCUUGCGGCGCCUGUGUGUGCUCCGCGAAACUCGUCUCGCCGUUGGCGGGUCUUCUCUUCCUCCCUCCGUGUUGUCCCCGAAGCUUUCCCUCCUGCAGUCCAUCCCGUCGUCCUCCAUCGUCGCUGCCAUCCGUCGUCCCUCCAUCAGUUAAAUCAGCUCUGUCAUCUCUCCUUGCUGACGUAUAGGUUUUGAAGGGCCAAUGACAUUGAUCGAAGCCUAAAACCUAGAGAUUGAGGGGAUUUGUGUGGCCUGAGUCACUCUCUGCGUUAUUCCUUUGUAUCUUGGGCUUCCCUCACAAAACUGUGAAAUGGUAUUUAUAUUAUGGAGGGAUGCUUGUAAUGGAGCAACCAAGCUUCUCAUUCUCUCUUGUGAAUACUCUUUCAUUUGCUAUUAGUUCAAGGUGAUCUCCCUUGGAAAUGUUAUGGAGAAACAGAUGGACUUUGUUGACAGUGUCAAACCAAAUUAUCAGAACACUGCCUUCCCUUUCAUUUCACUAUUCUGGGCCAUUUCCAAGUGGAACUUAUCAAACUAAGAAGUUUUCUUGCAACAAUUCUGAUUCAGAAUUUCCUCAGAAAGGCAAGCAACUUUUGAAUAGUCAAAUCAUACGCUCCACUUUAUCAAGCUGCCCAUCUGAUUUAAUUUCUUUGAGCUUCUUCAUGUGGUGUUCCCAACAACCCAAUUACUUUCAUGAUGUGGAAGCAUUUGAUUGCAUGAUUGGUGUGGUUCGACGCCUCACUGAACAGUAUAAAACAGUCAAAGGAAUUGUCCUAGAAUUGGAGACUGUUGGGUGUAUUAUGAAGGCAAAAGUUUUUUUGAUUUUAUUGAGGAUUUAUUGGCAUGGAGGAAUGUAUGACAUGGUUUUUGAGGUGCAUGAGCAAAUGGUAAGUUGUGGAUUUACACCUAACACAUUUGCAAGAAAUGUAGUAAUGGAUGUUCUAUUUAAGAUUGGACAAACUGACAAAGCUUUGAAGGUUUUAAAAGAGACUCAGGUCCCAAACUUCUUGACCUAUAAUAUUGCCCUACUUCAUCUUUGUAAGUUAAAUGAUGUUGAUCUUAUUCGUCAUGUUCUUAAAGUUAUGUUAAGGAUGAAGUAUUAUCCUAAUGCUAGGACAUUCGAAAUGCUUCUCAGUUGUUUUAGCAAGAUGAAUAAGCUCGCAGAGACAUAUCAAAUUUUGGGUCUCAUGAUCUCUUUUGGGAUCACAAUGUCCUCAAAAGUUUGGACUAUACUUAUCAACGGAUUUGGUAAACAGCAUAGGCUUCUUGUUGCCACCGAUAUGUUGAAAAAGAUGAUUGAAACUGAUUGUUCUCCUAAUGUCGUGACUUAUACUACUUUGUUCAAGGCUUUUAUGGAAUCCAAAUUGAUUGCUGAUGCUUUUGGGCUUUUAGAUACCAUGGUUUCCAGAGGCCAAAGUCCUGAUUUAAUUCUAUAUAAUGUAUUAAUUGAUUGCCUUUCAAAGGCUGGAAUGUACCAAGAUGCUAUUGAUGUUUUUUCAAGCUUGUCAAAACAAAAUAUAGCACCUGAUUCCUAUACUUUUAGUUCAUUGUUGUCUACAAUAUGCUUUACUAGAAGGUUUAAUCUUUUAUCCAAACUAGUUCGUGGACAUAUCGCAGAUGCUGAUCUAAUGUUCUGCAAUGCACUUCUAAAUUCUUUUUGUAAGGCUGGGUUUCCAUCUCUUACUGUGGAAUUGUACAAUUAUAUGAUUGAUAGAGGUUUUUCACCAGAUAAGUAUACUUUUUCUGCAUUACUUAGAGGUCUCUGUGGUGCAAGAAGAAUUGAUGAAGCAUUAAAUGUGUACCGUGGUAUUAUUAUGAUUUGUGAUGAUGUUGAUGCUCACAUCCAUACAGUGGUAAUAAAUGGGCUUAUCAAAAUCGGCAAAUAUCACAUGGCUAUUAAAAUGUUCAAAAAUGCAAUAAAUGAGAAAUAUCCACUUGAUAGCGUAUCAUAUACAAUUGUUAUUGUGGACUUCUUAAAGGUGGAAGAACUCAAGAGGCAUGUACAUUGUAUGACAGGAUGAAGGGCAAUGGUCUGACACCUAAUGAUCUUACAUGUAAUAUGAUGCUGUCAGCUAUUUGUAAAGAAAAAGAUCGUGAAAUAGUCAAUUGGAUGCUACAAGAGAUGAUUGAUUUGAGAAUAGAGCUUAGGGAUAGAAGUUUCUUACACUUAUGUAAAUAUUUAAGUGUUUCAAACACCUAUCUUUCAUCUUUUAAGUUGUUGAAUAAGAUGAGAGUCUUGGGCUUAAUCCCUCCCAAGGCAUUGCAUGAUUCAUGCUUCGUUGGACAUGGUAAAGGGGCAAAAGCAAAUUAUGAAUACUGUAGAGAAGCUUUUACAGACUGUAACACGGCCCUAGAUUCAUCCAGUUCUGAAGAUCUCUGGAAUGUGAAUGCUGCAGUUUGUUGAGCUCUUCAACUUUCCAUAUAAUAUAUUUCUGCUUAACUGGUUUGAGACUUCUUUCCUGUGAUUCUCAACAAUUUAUUCAUGCUUGGGAAAAUUUUUUGCAGGAUUGUAGUCAUUUGAUCCAAUAAGAUGGAUUCUGUUUGCAUGUUUGAUUGGAAGUCUAAGAUUCAAGCAUGUGUCAGUUGAAGAAGUUCUCUGCUUCGGGGUUAUCUGUGCAUUGUGGCAGUGGUGGCAAGAAUACUGCAUAGGGCAAUUGCUUUAAUCAUUUCUUUGGAAAUGUAAUUUUGGUUGGUUAAUCCAAUCAGUUCAUCAAUGGUCAGCAAGGAUGAUGGUCCUAACGAUUAUCCAGCACGUAGUUCGUGUGUACCUAUCUCACCAGUGCAAAUUGACAUGGGUUACAGGUGUAGUUUCACCUGCAAAAAAUAUCCAAGCCCAUCAUGACAAAUGUUUUUGUCACUGGUUGGUUCUAUUCAAUAUCAUGCGCUCGCAGACAAGGCAGUGGUCGCUUUUUGCUGACUUGAAACAGGACAACGUCUUUUUGUUAAGGUUUAUGUGAAUUUGAUACUCAUUCAGAUACACACGUAUUCCAUUCAAGCAUAACCAUAGAGUUGUUCCUCCAAUCUUAACUUUUGCCUCUUACUGGGACUGUCCUCUUUCUCAUCGUAUCAUGAUCCCAGCUUGCUCAAGACACUUGAAUUUGAUAUUUAUGACGCAAUUGGAAGUUGUGAUGAUACUCUAACAAAAGCUGUUAUAGUGAUCGUUGGUGAUGUAGGUGUGAAUCAACUUUCUGAUGACAAGGAUUGUAGAAGUUCGAGGGAAUAUAAAGAAUUUGUACAUGCAAAGGAUGAAAUAGUGUUGUGAAAACAUCUUUGGUGGACGUGGAUGCUGCUAAGUGCUAGCACUUGUUUAAGAUAGAGUUGUUUAGAAAGAGAGCCAGCGAUGCAAAGAUUUACCAGCAUGCAUUGAUUCUGUUGAAGUGCGAGAUUUUAUGUUCAAGUCUGUUUUAAUGUAGAAAAUGUUUUUAGGAGUUAUCAUUCCUCAUGCCCCGCUUGGCACAUGGAAGUGUUUAUAGUGGAAAUGAAAAUAAAAAAUAGAAAUGAAAGGGAAAGUGAAUGAAAAUAGAAAUAAUGUUUAGAAGUA